rnacentral:rRNA from 1 species
GAUGAACGCUGGCGGCGUGCCUAAUACAUGCAAGUCGAACGCUGAAGGAAGGAGCUUGCUCUUUCCGGAUGAGUUGCGAACGGGUGAGUAACGCGUAGGUAACCUGCCUGGUAGCGGGGGAUAACUAUUGGAAACGAUAGCUAAUACCGCAUAACAGUAGAUGUUGCAUGACAACUAUUUGAAAGGGGCAAUUGCUCCACUACCAGAUGGACCUGCGUUGUAUUAGCUAGUUGGUGAGGUAACGGCUCACCAAGGCGACGAUACAUAGCCGACCUGAGAGGGUGAUCGGCCACACUGGGACUGAGACACGGCCCAGACUCCUACGGGAGGCAGCAGUAGGGAAUCUUCGGCAAUGGACGGAAGUCUGACCGAGCAACGCCGCGUGAGUGAAGAAGGUUUUCGGAUCGUAAAGCUCUGUUGUAAGAGAAGAACGAGUGUGAGAGUGGAAAGUUCACACUGUGACGGUAUCUUACCAGAAAGGGACGGCUAACUACGUG